GCUCCGGGCCGGGCCGGGCCGAGCCGGGGCGGCGGGGGAGCGCCGCGUCCCGCAGCCGCCGGGCCACGCCUGGCCGCCGUGAGCCGGGCACCGGCACCGGGACCUGCACCGGGACCCCUCACCCUGCGCCGGGGCAGCCGGCUGCUCCCCUCCGCGCUGCGCCGCCCUCACCAGGUCCAUGGAGUGACCCCGUGGGGGGGUCCCUGCACCGGCGCAGCCCCCGGCCGCCGGCCCGGCGCUGAGCGAGGCCGCCGCGAACAUGAGCGACUUCUGGCACAAGCUGGGCUGCUGCGUCGUGGAGAAGCCACAGCCGAAGAAGAGGAGGAGACGGAUCGACCGCUCCAUGAUUGGAGAACCCAUGAACUUCGUCCACCUGACGCACAUCGGCUCCGGAGACAUGGCUGCGGGUGAAGGCCUGCCCAUGACUGGUGCUGUCCAGGAGAUGAGAUCCAAGGGUGGACGGGAGCGACAGUGGAACAACUCCCGGGUCUUGUAGCAUAUUCCUGUUUUUUUCAGCCCAAACUUAAACUGCCCGAUCCCCCAACCAGAGAAGAAGCCGAUCUCGAGCGCUUUAACCCUGCGGUAAUUUAUGCAGAGCAAUCCUUGCCUGGCUCCCGGUGGCUUUUGGUCGUCAUCCCCCCUGGCAAAUCCCUCCCCGCUGGAGGCGUGGGGUCAGUGGCGCGGGGGGCAAUGGGCACGGCAGCCCCCGCCUCGUGCCCGACCAGCGGAAGGACGCGUGCCAGGAGCUGCCGGGCACAGCCGGGAUGUGCCAAACCCUCCCGGCUUUCCUUGCUCCGUACCUGUGCCUCGGCGCCGGGCCGCGGUGCCUCGCUUGCGCCGGGGGAUCACGGCGGGGCUGCUCCUGGUGCCGAGGCCGGGUCGGUGCCCUCUCGGGAAGGCGCACAACAGCAAAACUGGGAUUAGACCCUGAUGCUUGUGUCUCGUCAGCAGCGGCUCAGCACCGGCACCAUCCACGAGCCUGUGGUGCCUCCAGCCAGCGGUGCCACCACUGGCAAACUGCCACCUUCCUCCUUUUUUAGGAUAUAUAUAUAUUUUUUAAGCUCAAAAACCCAAGCAGGCAGCCUCUGACGCCUCAGAGGAAGGACUGUGGUGUGCUCCCCUCGCGCUGGGGUCACCACCAGGGUUUCACUGGCACUGGCCGAGGCAGGACGGGGCCUGACCAAGAAGGCGCUGGGGCUCCUGAAUUCGGGCACGGGUGUAUAUAGUUUAAAUAGCGCCAGGAUUCAAUAUGAAAUAGCAAAUGCCGGGCAUCACAGGCGGGUGGCAGAGGCUUUCACCCUGCUCCCUGCCACACCGGGAUGCUCCCGUGAGGAACCGGGCUCUUCCAGCCCCGUGGUGUGCUUGGUGUUGGUGAGUGAGUGCCGAUGCUUGGUCCGGUUUUCCCUCCCCUGGGAAAAACAACCCAUCCUUGAAAUAAACCCCUUGUGCUGGC
rnacentral:lncRNA from 1 species